UACGUAGGGUGCGAGCGUUGCCCGGAUUUAUUGGGCGUAAAGAGCGUGUAGGCGGCCAGGUAGGUCUGGUGUGAAAACUCGAGGCUUAACCUCGAGAUGUCAUCGGAAACCAUCUGGCUAGAGUCCGGAAGAGGAGAGUGGAAUUCCUGGUGUAGCGGUGAAAUGCGCAGAUAUCAGGAAGAACACCAAUGGCGAAAGCAGCUCUCUGGGACGGUACUGACGCUGAGACGCGAAAGCGUGGGGAGCGAACAGG
rnacentral:rRNA from 1 species